rnacentral:rRNA from 1 species
AGAGUUUGAUCCUGGCUCAGAUUGAACGCUGGCGACGUGCUUAACACAUGCAAGUCGUGCGAGAAAGUAGGCUUCGGUCUAUGAGUAGAGCGGCGCACGGGUGAGUAACGCGUGGAUGAUCUACCCUUGAGUUCGGGAUAACGGUGCGAAAGCGCCGCUAAUACCGUAUAACAAUCCACUUCAUCGUGGGUUCAAAGCAGGCCUCUUCGUGAAAGCUUGCGCUUGGGGAUGAGUCCGCGUCCCAUUAGCUUGUUGGCGGGUAACGGCCCACCAAGGCUACGAUGGGUAGCUGGUCUGAGAGGAUGAUCAGCCACACUGGAACUGAAACACGGUCCAG